GUGCCAGCAGCCGCGGUAAUACAGAGGGUGCUAGCGUUGUUCGGAAUUAUUGGGCGUAAAGCGCGUGUAGGCGGCUCUGCAAGUUGGGUGUGAAAGCCCUCGGCUCAACCGAGGAAGUGCGCCCAAAACUACAAGGCUUGAGUACCGGAGAGGAUGGCGGAAUACCCGGUGUAGAGGUGAAAUUCGUAGAUAUCGGGUGGAACACCAGUGGCGAAGGCGGCCAUCUGGACGGAUACUGACGCUGAGACGCGAAAGCGUGGGGAGCAAACAGGAUUAGAAACCCUUGUAGUCC
rnacentral:rRNA from 1 species